AUACUCUGGUUUCUCUUCAGAAUGAAUAAAUCUUUCGCCUUUUAUAAAGAUUUCCGUGGAGAGGAACAACCAUGAGUUUCAUGUAAAUUUCUCUAUCGUCCUAAGUGGAUGC